UGUAAUUGAGCCUAAUAGCAUAGCUGGCAGCUGGAAGGCUGCAUUUUGGCUUUGGUGUUUAGUGGGAGAAGUGAUGGUGUAUUCACAGUGGUUGCUGACUAAUAACUGUUUAAGUAGACUGUACCUCACCGAGCAUGUUUUACUGGCACAGAGUUCACUACACAUAUUAAAAAUAUUCAGUGUGCAUGGUGUUGCUUGACAUAAUUUUGCAAAGCCAAGAAACAGGAUUGGGUCAGUUUAUGCAGUGUAUUUGUGGCAGACUUGUAGCUCUUGUGCAUUUUUUUUUGAGCUAGCUACUUGUUCUUCCCAUUAAGCCAGCAAGAGUUGAAGCUAUUUCACUUGUGCUUGCUGCUCCUGCCAUCUUAUCUUGUAUGGUUCCCGCUUUCCAGCUGCUCGAAAUCCAAGAAGCUUUGCUUUAUUUUAAUUGUGCAGCUUUUUGCUUUCUUUAUUAGCUUGUCAAAAAACCAUUACAUAUUGAUUUGUGAAGUAUGGCUCUCUGACUGAGAGGCAUAUCACAUUGGUCUGUUUUAUUUUCAGUGUUAUGGCACUUUAAUAUAUACACUGACCCCAAAAGAAAAAAAAAAAAAAAUUGAAGCUUUGCUGUGCUACUUUUGUACUAACUUUUGGUUCCCACUUAUCUUUAGUUUAUCAUGUUCCCUUUUGUUUGUGCACCACAUUUAAUGCUUCAAACUAUUACUGUUUCUUUUACUUUGCAAAAACAGGCGCCCUGUUCGAUCAGUCCCUCCCAGAAUCCCCGACCGGCCGCAGGUUUCAUCUUCACAAUGGCCCUUCUGAGUUUUCCAUCCUUGUGUUCUGUGGAGGACGACCAGCCCAAGAGACUGAUUAAAACAGAGAGCAGUGUGAGAGCAAAGGGCCCAGUGAAGCUGAGAUGUGUUCCAAAGGCAGGCCAGGUCAUGGGAGGAGGGUCGGUGGCAUGAGGUGAAAACGUGGGGGAGGACCGAAAGGGAAGCAUUUUAGGCAGCAGCGUGGCACAUAGGGCAGCCAACCGCCUGUGAUCCCUUGGCAGGGACAUCCCUGUCUAUGUCACCAGAGGUUAGGCGAAAAUCCAGUGCCCUGCUAGUCCCGACUCUGCCUCACUUGUUUGUUUGGAUUGUGUAAGUUUUGUAAUGUAACUUCCUGUGAUUGA